rnacentral:rRNA from 1 species
UGCUCCAGAAUAGCUCUUGGAAACGGUGGUAAUGCUGGAUGCUCCAACUUGACGCAUGUCUUGUUGGGGAAAGUGUUUAGUGGCAUGGGGGAUGGGGUCGCGUCCCUAUCAGCUUGUAGGCGGGGUAAUGGCCCACCUAGGCUUCGACGGGUAGCCGGCCUGAGAGGGCGGACGGCCACAUUGGGACUGAGAUACGGCCCAGACUCCUACGGGAGGCAGCAGUGGGGAAUAUUGCGCAAUGGGGAAAACCCUGACGCAGCGACGCCGCGUGCGGGAUGAAGGCCUUCGGGUUGUAAACCGCUUUUGAUUGGGGAGCAAGCCUUUUGGGUGAGUGUACCUUUCGAAUAAGCGCCGGGCUAACUACGUGCCCAGCAGCCGCGGGUAAAUA